GAUGAAGAACGUAGCGAAAUGCGAUAAGUAGUGUGAAUUGCAGAAUUCUGUGAAUCAUCGAAUCUUUGAACGCACAUUGCGCCCCUUGGUAUCCCGAGGGGCAUGCCUGUUCGAGCGUCAUUUCACCACUCAAGCCUGGCUUGGUGUUGGGCGACGUCCUCUUUGGGGACGCGCCUCGAAACGCUCGGCGGCGUGGCACCGGCUUUAAGCGUAGCAGAAUCUUUCGCUUUGGAAGUCGGGGCCCCGUCUGCCGGAAGACCUGCUCGCAAGGUUGACCUCGGAUCAGGCAGGGAUACCCGCUGAACUUAAGCAUAUCAAUAAGCGGAGGA
rnacentral:misc_RNA from 1 species